rnacentral:lncRNA from 1 species
GGGGAAAGAGAAAUUGGGAGGAGGAGAAGGAAAUUGGAGCUGGAGGAGAGAUUGACAUUCAUCACAUACACACAAUGCACCCCUUGCACACAGAAAAACACACAAUGCAUUACUCACACAGACACACAUACACAAGCAAUGCAACCGUUACACACAAUGCAUCCCUUACACACACAGAAACACACAAUGCAUUCAUUACACACACUCAAUGCACCCCUUAAACACAUUCAAUGCAUCCCAUACAUACACAGAAACACACCUUGCAGCCCUUACACAUACAAACACAAUGCAUUCCUUACACACAUAUCAGGACAUCCCUUACACACUCCACCCCCUGUGAACAAACUCAUUGGUGGAACAUGAAGGUGGACCCUGGGACCCAGACCUUGAGCUGUGUAAAGGACCCCCAAAAAAUGGAGCUGCUUCCCGUUCUCCCAGAACAUUGAUUUUUGUGACCACACUUACAAACCGCCUCCAGAGAGCCUGUUCUGCACCAGACCAGUGGAGCCAGACUGCAGCUAGAGCCCAUCAUCCUCCUCAUCUGGUUGUAAGUAGGCAAUCUAGUAUAUUAUUCGUGGCACUAAGCUCUAAUUUACCUCAUAUUAAA